ACACACACACACACACACAAAGUCGACAGUGAACGCAUCUCUAGCUAUUAAACAGUGGUGAAACAUAGAAACAUACAGGCUGUGUCUAGCCUUUUCUGUGGUAUUUUGUAGACAACUGCAGACAUGCUUAGAAGCUCUUAGAAACUGCUGAAGUAAUAAAUAAACUGUAUCUUGUAACACAGAGACACACAAAAACACACAAGAUGAAUACUGGGAAACUCCGUGGGCCCUCUCUUAUCUGUAACUAUUAAAACUUUGUAAAUGAAAAUAACUGAAGUUACUAAGAACCUUGAAAGACAAUGUUUAACUAUCUUAAACCUUGACUUUAAGCAUCCUUUAAAAACAAUGCAGACUACUUACCCUAAUAGUCAAGUAUCCAUUAUGUACUAGGAGUUCCUUACUGUGUAUAGUUUAAAUAUGCAAGUUGUUACUGAAGUUGUUGAAGAGAACCUCCAUUGUGUGUCUUCAAAAUACCACCUUCCAGACUUCCCAAAGCAACAUUAUGAAUGACAGUAUGGAUGAGGACUAAUAUUAUUAUUAGUAGUAGUAGUAUUAGUAUUUGUCUACACUAUGGUUUAGACAGGACAUGGCUUGAGAAGAAGAGUUUCAAAUACUCCUAGGCAUAAUAAGAAAUGCCAUCUGAUUUGCUUUGUGUUCUUGUCACUGGUUGGUGCCACAAACCCAACAUUAUGGAAUUUCUUUCCUGAUAACUAGAAACCUAUUUAAAUGGACACAGCUAAUGAGGAAUACAAGGCAUUGGUCCUGAGUUAGCUUUUUCAAAAUCUUGAAUGAACCUAAGUCCUUUGACAGCUUUAAGUUAGGGUAGAGAACAGAUCUGUUCUUCUCUUCCCACUCCAGAUACACAGGGGGACCACCCACAUUUGAAUAAGGACGUAUUAGACCUCUAUCUAAUAAGAACUAGAAGAGUCUGGGCACAGAUCUGACAGAUGGGCGAUAAACAGUCUCAACACCCCAAAGACUGACCACCACCUUUAGAUGACUGUAGCAUGCUAAGUACAUCCUGGGUCUACACCUCCUUAAAUGUAAACAUAAUCUUCACUUAGUGCCACCUGCCCCACUCUUCUGUAACAUGCAAGGGUUGUGUCACAGUCACAGUCAGAGAAUUGAAAAUGGAAAUUAGACACUAUUAUACUCAAAAUUGUCUCCUUUAGAUGGUCAACUGCAGCCUAGAAAUGCUUCAUAAACUGACUCAAUAUUUAAGAGCAAACAACAACAACAAUGAAAACAACUAGCAGGGAGACUGAAGAGGUGGCUCAAUGGGUAAGAGCUCUGGCUACAUUUCUAGAGGACCCGUGUUCAACAACAGAGCAACUUAAAGCUGCCUGAACUCCAGUUCUAGGGGACCCAAUGUCUUCCUAUGGCCUCUGUGGUCACGCAUGCAUAUGCACAGGAGUAUGGGCACUGCAAACAUAUUCAGGCAAGAUACCUAUUCAGGCAAAAUACCACAUAAAAUACCAAUUUUUUUUUAAUUUAAAAAAAAAGGUCAAAAAACAAAAACCCCACAUGUAAAGCUAUACUUCCAGAGACACACUUUCUCCAACAAGGCCACACCCACUCUAACAAGGCCACACCUAUAUAAAUGAACCUAUUGGAGCCAUUCUUACUCAAACCACAGGAGGUCUCACACUGGCCUGGAACUUACCAAGUAGGCUAGGCUGGCUGGUCAUCAAGUCCCAGGGAUUCAUGCACCUGUCUUUGCCUCCCCAGUACUGGGAUAACAAACACAUCUGAGUACAUUAUGUGGGUUCUGGGGGUUUAAUUACCAAUCGAACCACCCCCCAGUCCCAGGCAUCGUAUUUCUUAAACCACUAUUGCCCUUGCACUGAGGGAAUAACUCAAAAGAGGGAAAAUGUAAAAGUCUAAAAAUGUUUAAUGUAACACAUACAAUUUUUUAAAAAUUAAUAGCCCAAAAUAUAGCUAAGUUCCUUGUUUUAAUUAAUGGAGUGUUAUGUAACAACUAAGAUUAGUGCUGAUUAAUACUAUGAAGGCAAAGAUAUUUAUGAUCAGUGGUAUAAUUUUCCAAGGUUAUCUUGUAAAGUUAUACUGCUGGAAUCCAAAGAUCUGGAUGGGGCAAGGGAUGAAGAAAGUUGAGGGCUAGUGUGUUAUGCCUACAGAUAUAUUUUUGUUGUCUUUAUUUGAGUGAUUUUAUAGCACAUCCUUUUUUUUUCCAAAGACAAUAAAAAGGCUAAUAAAUAAGAGGCAAUUUCCAGAAGAAGAUUCCUGACUUUAGAGUUUAUCUGUCCAGAAAAUAUAAACCAAAAAGUUGUGGUUAAAUGAUAUUAAAAUGGACAAUCACUGAUAGAAUGGCUUUGCCUUCUGACCUAGUGAGUCACUUUGAGGGAAAUAGCUGUACAUUGAGAGAAACGUAGUCACAAAGCAAUGUAGCUGUAGAGGCUUGGUGACCUGUCUCUGUGAUUCCCCAGUAGAGCUCUGAACCAUGCAAAGUAUUGGAGGUAGUCAGGGUGGAUACAGGACUAAGCAGGUCUGAAAGCCCAUUGUCUUAGUUAGGGUUUUACUGCUGUGAACAGACGCCAUGACCAAUGCAAGUCUAAUAACAUUUAAUUGGGGCUUCAGAGGUUCAGAUCCAUUAUCAUAAGGCAGGAGCAUGGCAGCACCCAGGCAGGCAUGGUGCAGGAGGAGCUGAGAGUUAUACAUCUUCAUCUGAAGGCUGGUAGCAGAAUACUGGCUUCCAGGCAGCUAGGAUGAGGGUCUUAAAGCCCAUAACCACAGUGAAACACCUACUCCAACAUGGCCACACCUUCUAAUCCUGCCACUCCCUGAGCAGAGCAUAUGCAAACCAUCACACCCAUCCUUAUCCUGCUUGAUACCAAGAUCCCAGAAUUCUAGACUCUCUUCUCAGAGGGAGCCAUGCAUUUAAUGUUAAAAUGCAAAAUUCACUUAAUAUCAGAGUUAGGUAAUGUUAUUGAGUAAUAAUAAUGUUAUCAGUUUGGAUAAUUUCUUUGCUAUAAAAGACAUAAAGACUUCCAUAGGACUAGGAAGGAAUUUAUGUAAAUCAAUCAUUUGAAUCAUUCCAUUUAGAAAGGAAAGUUAAUUGACUUAAAAUAGUACGUGAGUUAUUAGCAUACCGGAGUGUCAAAAAACAGAAGAGGAGCCUG
rnacentral:lncRNA from 1 species